AUAUCAAUAAGCGGAGGAAAAGAAACCAACUGGGAUUGCCCUAGUAACGGCGAGUGAAGCGGCAACAGCUCAAAUUUGAAAUCUGGCUCUUUUAGAGUCCGAAUUGUAAUUUGUAGAGGAUGCUUUUGGUGCGGCGCCUUCUGAGUUCCCCGGAAUGGGACGCCAUAGAGGGUGAGAGCCCCGUAUGGUCGGAUGCCUAGCCUGUGUGAAGCUCCUUCGACGAGUCGAGUAGUUUGGGAACGCUGCUCUAAAUGGGAGGUAAAUUCCUUCUAAAGCUAAAUAUUGGCCAGAGACCGAUAGCGCACAAGUA
rnacentral:rRNA from 1 species